UCCGGUUCCUCACCGGCAGUCUCCUUAGAGUCCCCAACUUAAUGCUGGCAACUAAGGACAAGGGUUGCGCUCGUUACGGGACUUAACCCAACAUCUCACAACACGAGCUGACGACAGCCAUGCAGCACCUGUCUCUAGGUUCCUUUCGGCACUCCAAGCUCUCACUCGGAUUCCUAGGAUGUCAAGGGUAGGUAAGGUUCUUCGCGUUGCAUCGAAUUAAACCACAUGCUCCACCGCUUGUGCGGGCCCCCGUCAAUUCCUUUGAGUUUCAACCUUGCGGCCGUACUUCCCAGGCGGAAGACUUAUCGCGUUAGCUUCGAUACUGCUGAGUUCCCCCAACAACAUCUAGUCCUCAUCGUUUACAGCGUGGACUAC
rnacentral:misc_RNA from 1 species